UACGAAGGGGGCUAGCGUUGCUCGGAAUUACUGGGCGUAAAGCGCACGUAGGCGGAUUGUUAAGUCGGGGGUGAAAUCCUGGAGCUCAACUCCAGAACUGCCUUCGAUACUGGCGAUCUCGAGUUCGGGAGAGGUGAGUGGAACUGCGAGUGUAGAGGUGAAAUUCGUAGAUAUUCGGAAGAACACCAGUGGCGAAGGCGACUCACUGGACACAUAUUGACGCUGAGGUGCGAAAGCGUGGGAGCAAACAGGAUGA
rnacentral:rRNA from 1 species